rnacentral:rRNA from 1 species
AUGUCGUCUGGCGACGAUGACCGCAUCACCGUCUCCAAGCACCACCACCGGGACAAGGACAAGGACCGCGACCACUCCUCCUCUCGCCGCCACCGCGACAAGGACCGCCCCUCCUCUCGCCACCACCGCGACGACAGGGACGGUGAGCGGGAGCGGGACCGAGAUCGCGACCGCCACCACAGAGACAAGGAGCGGGAUCGAGAGGAGCGGAAGGCGCGGGAGCGGGCGGAGAAGGAGCGCGAGAAGGAGGAGAAGAGGGAGAGGGAGAGGGAGGAGAGGGAGAUGGAGAAGGAGAGAGAGCGGGCGCGUCGUCGCGAGGAGCGGGAUAGGGAAAAGGAGAAGUCGAGGAGGCGGGAGGCGGUCGAUGAGGAGGAGAACGAAGAUCGUGACCGCGACCGCAAGCGCCGCCGUCGGUCCUUGCAUCGGCACCACCACCGUGAUGUGGAGCCAGAGGAGACACCGCUGACAAGGGAGGAGGAGGAGGAUGCGGAGGAGGUGGAGAGACGGCGGCAGAAGGAGGAAGACAUGGAGGCUGAACAGCAGCGGCUUGAUGACGAGAUGGAGCGGCGCCGCCGCCGUGUUAAGGAGUGGCAGGAGAAGAAGCGCCGUGAGCAGCAGCAGGAGGAUGGUACCAGUGGUGGUGCAGCUGCCAUUGAGGCUGAUGGUGGAGGCAAGUCUGGGAAGAAGUGGACCUUGGAUGGUGAGGAGUCGGAUGAGGAGGAUGUGAAGAAGUUGGAGGAGAAUGCUGGCACUGGUGCCAUGGAUGUUGACCUACCGAACAUGGAUAAUGGCAGUAACGGCGGGGCUGGUUUGGAAGAGGAUGAGAUUGAUCCCCUCGACGCGUUUAUGGACUCCAUGGUGUUGCCAGUGGUUGCAAAGCUCGAGAGUGCCGCAACAGCGAUGGAGAGCGUGCUUGCUGACAAUGCAGGUUGUUUGAAUGACAAGAGUGUGAAGGAUGCCACAAGUAAUGAGGAUAAGAAAAGACAGAUGAUGGCAAUUGGGAGAAUUAUGCAAGGGGAUGACUCUGACUCAGAUUAUGAUGAUGCUAAUAAUGGCGAGGCUGGAUCAGAUGAUGAGGAUGAUGCAGAGUUCAUAAAACGUGUCAAGAAGACGAAGGCAGAGAAGUUGGUUAUUGUUGACCAUUCCAAGAUUGAUUACCAACCAUUCCGGAAGAAUUUCUAUAUUGAGGUGAAAGACAUAAAAAAUAUGCCAGCCGAGGAAGCGGCGGCCUACCGGAAGCUGUUGGAGCUCAAGGUGCACGGGAAAGACGUUCCGAAGCCAAUAAAGACAUGGAUCCAGAGUGGUCUGACAAGUAAGCUACUUGACACUAUCAAGAAGCUUGGUUUUGAGAAACCGAUGCCUAUACAAGCACAAGCGUUGCCAGUCAUAAUGAGUGGACGUGAUUGUAUAGGGGUUGCAAAGACUGGAUCUGGUAAGACUCUAGCAUUUGUCUUGCCCAUGCUGAGGCAUGUCAAAGAUCAGCCGCCUGUUGUGCCUGGGGAUGGCCCUAUUGGGCUUAUUAUGGCUCCUACGAGAGAGCUUGUGGUGCAAAUAUAUUCAGACAUAAAAAAGUUCUCCAAGGUGCUCGGCAUCAACUGUGUUCCUAUAUACGGAGGUUCUGGGGUUGCCCAGCAGAUCAGUGAACUGAAGAGGGGUGCUGAAAUUGUUGUUUGUACACCAGGCAGGAUGAUUGAUAUCCUUUGCACUAGCAGUGGCAAGAUUACUAACCUUCGAAGAGUGACUUUCUUGGUGCUAGAUGAAGCUGAUAGGAUGUUUGAUAUGGGUUUUGAGCCUCAGAUUACUCGAAUCGUUCAGAACACCCGUCCGGAUAGGCAGACUGUCCUUUUCUCUGCCACUUUUCCACGGCAGGUGGAGAUACUGGCACGUAAAGUGCUGACAAAGCCUGUUGAGAUUCAGAUGGGUGGGAGGAGUGUCGUGAACAAAGAUAUCACACAACUGGUGGAAGUGCGACCAGAAAGUGAGAGGUUCUUUAGGCUGUUGGAAUUGCUUGGGGAGUGGUUUGCAAACGGAAAAAUUCUUGUUUUUGUACAGUCGCAAGAUAAGUGUGAUUCUCUACUGAAAGAGCUGUUCCAGCACGGAUACCCAUGUUUGUCUCUACAUGGUGGAAAGGAUCAAAAUGACCGUGAAUCAACUCUUGCUGAUUUCAAGAGUAAUGUAUGCAGCUUACUGAUUGCUACCAGUGUUGCUGCAAGGGGUUUAGAUGUGAAAGAUCUUGAGCUUGUUGUCAAUUAUGAUGUAACUAAUCAUUAUGAGGACUAUGUUCAUCGGGUCGGGCGAACGGGUCGUGCUGGUAGGAAGGGCUGUGCUGUAACUUUUAUUUCUGAGGAAGAGGAACGCUAUGCACCAGACCUUGUUAAGGCUUUGGAGCUAUCUGAACAGGCCGUUCCAGAGGACCUGAAAGCCUUAGCGGAUCGAUUUAUGUCAAAGGUCAAACAGGGGACAGAGCAGGCCCAUGGAACAGGCUAUGGUGGAAGUGGUUUCAAGUUCAAUGAAGAAGAGGAGGAAGCACGGAAAUCUGCAAAAAGGGCUCAGGCAAGGGAAUAUGGAUAUGAGGAGGACAAGUCAGAUUCAGAUUCUGACGAUGAAGGAGGUGUGCGUAAACAGGGAGGUGAUGUUGCAGCACAAGCUAUUGCUGCUGCUCAAGCUGCCGCUGCUUUGGCUGCUGCCAGGGCUACUAGUAAUGCCCAGCAGCAAGUACCAGCCACAACGGCUGGCUCCUUGCUUCCUCUGCCGGUCGCACCUAACCAACAAAACAAUGAAGCCACACAACGAGCACUUGAUGCUGCAUACAACUUACAGAAAAAUUUGGCAAGGAUACAGGCCCAUGCAGUUCCAGAACACUAUGAAGCGGAGCUUGAGAUUAAUGAUUUCCCACAAAAUGCUCGCUGGAAGAUCACUCACAAAGAGACAUUGGUUCCCAUUCAGGAAUGGACUGGAGCGGCAAUUACUACAAGGGGAACCUUUAUUCCUCAAGGCAAAAUUGUUGGUGCUAACGAGCGCAAGCUGUACCUGUUCAUUGAGGGCCCCAAUGAGUCUUCCGUCAAGAAGGCGAAAGCAGAAUUGAAGCGUGUCCUUGAGGAUUGUGCCAACCAGGCACUGAAUCUUCCAGCUUACCGUGGUUUGCAGAUCACAAUCCAAUUGUUGGACUUCAGAUAUGCAACUAUUUUUUAA